rnacentral:rRNA from 1 species
UACAGAGGGGGCGAGCGUUGCUCGGAAUUACUGGGCGUAAAGGGCGCGUAGGCGGCCUUCUAAGUCGAACGUGAAAUCCCCAGGCUCAACCUGGGAACUGCGUCUGAUACUGGAUGGCUUGAAUCCGGGAGAGGGAUGCAGAAUUCCAGGUGUAGCGGUGAAAUGCGUAGAUAUCUGGAGGAAUACCGGUGGCGAAGGCGGCAUCCUGGACCGGCAUUGACGCUGAGGAGCGAAAGCCAG